UAUACCCUUGACAUGUUGACAUAUCUGGUGCUCCAACAAGUUUGCAUUUCAAUGAAAGAGGCUGAUUGCUGAUACGGCAAGGUUCCCUGUGAAGUGACUCCCUUUGGUUCAACUGCAAGGUGCUGUCUCAUCAGACUUGAUCAGGAGUUAUUCACCAAUCACAUCUAGCAAGUUCCUUCUGAUGACUCAACUAUCAUGUCAGGGACGUCUGUUUUGACGAUGCUGUGCUGAGAGUUGAAGUAGACCAUGGACAGAGGCCGGCGCUCAGUGGGGAUGCAGCAUGAAGCUGUG